rnacentral:lncRNA from 1 species
GGAGCGUGCAGAGGGGCACGUUGAGGAGCUCUAACCCCAAGGCAGCAUCUAGGAGUGAAUGUUUAUAGCUCCUGAGUCUCCUGUGGGUGUGUGUUACCCCGUGCUCUUUUAGUUUAGUCAUCUGUAAGAAGCUUGUGUUUAUCAGCUCAAUUAGAUCCCUUGCCUUAUUGCAAGGAUAGAGGGCUUUUCUGUAUUUCGGGGUUUCUUUCCUUGGUGUACCGGAAGAAUUGGAUUACACCCGGGCCUGGACAAUCAGCGCAAGGUUUUAUUGAGCGGAAGUAGCUCUCAGCAGAUGGGGAAGACAGAAGGGAGAGAUGGAGUGGGAAGUUGGUUUUCCCCUGGGGUAGGGCUGCUCAGCAGCAGGGCUCUCCUCUGUCCGCCCCAGCCAAAAUCUGCUUCGGGCCUCGAUGGCCUGCCAGCCUGCCAGCAUCCGCCGGUGCGCUCUUACUCAGCCAUGUGAAGAAGAACAUGUUGCUUCCCUUUCUGCCAUGAUUGUAAGUUUCUGGAGGCCUUCCCAGCCAUGUGCAACUGUGAGUCAAUUAAACCUCUUCCCUUUAUAAAUUACCCAGGGUCAGGUAUUUCUUUGUAGCAGCAUGAGAAUGUGCUAAUACAAA